rnacentral:rRNA from 1 species
GAGUAACACGUGACUACCUACCCUCGAGUGGGGGAUAACCCCGGGAAACCGGGGCUAAUACCGCAUAACAUCGCAAGAUCAAAGGAGCAAUUCGCUUGAGGAGGGGGUCGCGGCUGAUUAGCUAGUUGGUGGGGUAACGGCCCACCAAGGCGAUGAUCGGUAGCCGGCCUGAGAGGGCGCACGGCCACACUGGAACUGAAACACGGUCCAGACUCCUACGGGAGGCAGCAGUGGGGAAUUUUGCGCAAUGGGGGAAACCCUGACGCAGCAACGCCGCGUGGAGGAUGAAGUCCCUUGGGACGUAAACUCCUUUCGACCCGGACGAUAAUGACGGUACGGGUGGAAGAAGCACCGGCUAACUUCGUGCCAGCAGCCGCGGUAAUACGAGGGGUGCGAGCGUUGUUCGGAAUUAUUGGGCGUAAAGGGCGCGUAGGCGGCGCGGUAAGUCACCUGUGAAAUCUCCCGGCUCAACUGGGAGCUUGCAGGCGAAACUGCCGUGCUCGAGUGUGGGAGAGGUGCGUGGAAUUCCCGGUGUAGCGGUGAAAUGC